rfam:Brassica napus, WGS project CCCW01000000 data, contig: 15470
ACGACCUUACUUGAACAGGAUCUGUUCUAUAGGCUCGUACCUCUGUAUCCUUGAUUUCUAAGGAGACAGGCCCCCAAAACCUGGUUGAUGAAUCAUACCCGUGCGAUCUGAGUGUGAUUAACGGUUAGGACUGUCUUCGGAUUCUCCGCGCUGUAGAGGAUCGCUAUCCGGCUUGGUCUGAUCUCUCCGGAGUGGUCGCAUGGCUGUCUGACAGGCC